AAUGAACGCUGGCGGCAUGCCUUACACAUGCAAGUCGAACGGCAGCAUGACCUAGCUUGCUAGGUUGAUGGCGAGUGGCGAACGGGUGAGUAAUGCAUCGGAACGUGCCUUUUAGUGGGGGAUAACGUAGCGAAAGUUACGCUAAUACCGCAUAUUCUCUGAGGAGGAAAGCAGGGGACCUUCGGGCCUUGCGCUAGAAGAGCGGCCGAUGUCGGAUUAGCUAGUUGGUGAGGUAAAGGCUCACCAAGGCAACGAUCCGUAGCGGGUCUGAGAGGAUGAUCCGCCACACUGGGACUGAGACACGGCCCAGACUCCUACGGGAGGCAGCAGUGGGGAAUUUUGGACAAUGGGCGCAAGCCUGAUCCAGCCAUGCCGCGUGAGUGAAGAAGGCCUUCGGGUUGUAAAGCUCUUUCGGCUGGGAAGAAAUCGCACCCUCUAAUACAGGGUGUGGAUGACGGUACCAGCAUAAGAAGCACCGUCUAACUACGUG
rnacentral:rRNA from 1 species